GACGUAGGGCGCGAGCGUUGUCCGGAUUUAUUGGGCGUAAAGAGCUCGUAGGCGGCUCGUUGCGUCGGCUGUGAAAACCCGCAGCUCAACUGUGGGCUUGCAGCCGAUACGGGCGGGCUGGGAUUCGGUAGGGGAGACUGGAAUUCCUGGUGUAGCGGUGAAAUGCGCAGAUAUCAGGAAGAACACCCGUGGCGAAGGCGGCUCUCUGGGACGGUACUGACGCUGAGACGCGAAAGCGUGGGGAGCGAACAGG
rnacentral:rRNA from 1 species